GUGGCGAACGGGUGAGUAACACGUGAGUAACCUGCCCUUGACUCUGGGAUAAGCCUGGGAAACCGGGUCUAAUACUGGAUACGACCUUCCCACGCAUGUGGUGUUGGUGGAAAGCUUUUGUGGUUUUGGAUGGACUCGCGGCCUAUCAGCUUGUUGGUGGGGUAAUGGCCUACCAAGGCGACGACGGGUAGCCGGCCUGAGAGGGUGACCGGCCACACUGGGACUGAGACACGGCCCAGACUCCUACGGGAGGCAGCAGUGGGGAAUAUUGCACAAUGGGCGCAAGCCUGAUGCAGCGACGCCGCGUGAGGGAUGAAGGCCUUCGGGUUGUAAACCUCUUUCAGUAGGGAAGAAGCCGAUCUUUCGGGGUUGGUGACGGUACCUGCAGAAGAAGCGCCGGUUAACUACGUGCCAGCAGCCGCGGUAAUACGUAGGGCGCAAGCGUUAUCCGGAAUUAUUGGGCGUAAAGAGUUCGUAGGCGGUUUGUCGCGUCUGCCGUGAAAGUCCGGGGUUUAACCCCGGAUCUGCGGGGGGUACGGGCAGACUAAAGUGCAGUAGGGGAGACUGGAAUUCCUGGUGUAGCGGUGAAAU
rnacentral:rRNA from 1 species